rnacentral:miRNA from 10 species
UAUUAGGUUGGUGCAAAAGUAAUUGCAGUUUUUGUCAUCACUUUAAAUGGCAAAACCACAAUUACUUUUGUGCCAUCCUAAUAUA